AUGAAAGCAACGCUACCGCCGAAAUGGGAGAGCCGGAAGGAAUUAAGCCCCGUCAAAACCCUAAUUCCCAAUUAUCGCUCGACGUAGAAUUUCUCGGUCGUCGAAUUCUUCAGCGCGAGCAACCCGAAUUUCGGUUCAGAAUCAGGCAGAACAAUGUCCUCGAGGAAACAGGGCGACAUCCAGCCCGAAGAUGGCGGCACUGGCUUUAAGCGCAUCAAGAUCACAAAAUCUUCGGAAGAUCCCGAGAAGAAGGGCUUAAGCCGGAGGCUCAAGGAUGCUGAAAUUAGCUUGCCGAUCGUGUACGGAACCAUUGCGUUCUAUCUAGGUAGAAAGGCUAGUGAGUCCCAAUCGCAUAAAUGGACGGUGUAUGUCCGCGGGGCGACAAAUGAAGAUCUUGGUGCGGUGAUCAAGCGGGUUGUGUUCCAAUUGCAUCCCAGUUUCAACAAUCCUACGAGAGUUGUCGAAGCUCCACCUUUUGAAUUGACAGAAUGUGGCUGGGGUGAAUUUGAAAUCGCUAUUUCCCUUGUCUUUCAUCCUGAUGUUUGCGACAAGCAGUUGGAUCUUUAUCACCAUUUGAAGCUGUACCCGGAAGAUGAGUCUGGUCCUCAAUCAACCAAGAAACCAGUUGUUGUUGAAUCUUAUGAUGAGAUUGUCUUCCCCGAUUCUUCAGAGUCUUUCUAUGCCCGGGUUCAGAAUCAUCCAGCUGUUAUAGUGCCACGCAUGUCCGCCGGUUUUAACAUUUCUGCUUCUGUACCCCCAGAAAACUCUAAUGAACGGGAGAGAGGCGAUACUAAAGAUCAUCCUCUUAGUCAAUGGUUCUUGAAUUUCUCAGAGGCAGAUGAGCUGCUGAAGCUUGCUGCAGCUCGCCAGCAGGUGCAAGCUCAUAUUAUCAAGCUGAGGAGACAACUUAGUGUGAUGGAUGGGAUGCCUCAACUGUCAAAGCCAGCCUCUGCUUAUGAAUAAAUAUGUCAUCUCUUUGAUAACUGUCUGCAAUGUGGAACUGAAUGCAGAGUAGAGAUGCCACUUUGCCAUGUCUGGUAAUUCUUACGUUACUCAAUCUGAUAGAAUGUAAAUAUUAUUUCACGGGGUUACAAAUGAGUCAAUUUUCUGGAGUCAAUUGAACGUACCAAACAAAAUUUAGAAUGACCAAUUUACAUACUUAGUGUUACCAACUUUAGCCAUGGAAGCAGUGUACUCUCAUCCUUGGUCUAUGGGGAAUCCAAUCUGGAUUGUAAUUUUUGGAACAUUGUCUCUGGUGCAUCCGUUCUAAUCGUGCCUCUUCUCUAUGCCUAUGAAUAUUUUCAUAUGCUAUACUUCAUGGAGUGAUAGUCAAAAACUGUGUAGGCAUGGCUUCUUUGUCAUUGGCCAAUGAUCACAAUGAGAAAUAGUCAGUUGUAAGUCAGAACUACUGUUCUGGAAGUUCAGAAAAGUUAAUGAAGACAGCUAAAUAUAUAUAUAUAUAUAUAUAUAUAUGUAUGAAGGGAUAUUGAUGAGGGAAAUGUAAUUACUCGUUACUUACAAUUUCCAAUAAUAUUUGGAGCCUUUUGUUAAACGCUUUUAUGGAUAUCCCAUAUUUUAGUUUCAUGGGAUGCUUGUUCUCUUUCCAAAUAGUUGGUAGCCAUUCAUGGAGACGAUGUAUGAAAAUAGAUGGAGGCUUGUAUUUACAAGGAGAUCUUCGGACGAGGAAGAUAUUGCUCUAAUGGUAAGUUUCAGAUAUUCAGUUUUGCGGGUGAAGUGUCCAUCCAUUAUCUAAGUAAGAAGAUUGUGGGAAUGACUAGUUCUUAGCUUCAUGCUAUCUCGGUAGUUGUGUUUUAGUAACAACAUGGCUCGCAUUUGUCCAUAAUUCAACUUUGGCAUUGUAUGCUUCAUAUAAGUUUGCAAUAUUCAAUUAUCGCAAAACAUCUUGCAGCCAUCGACACGCGAAGAAAAGUAGGAAUUAGUCUUAUUUCCGAUAGUUUUAGAUUGCCAGUCGUUUUUCUUCUUUUGAGGAUUCCUCAUUUAUCUCCACUUUGUAUCUUCUUUUUUAUUUAUCGCAUCUUGGCACAUAGGAAUUUUUUUUAGAGGAAGCUUAACUCCGUUAGAGAAAUUCUUGAGUGGGUGGUUGUUCUACUUUGCUAUCCCACAUAGCUUAUGUCUUUAACUUGGGAUGAUCGGAUAUUGGGAACCAUUUGUCAGAAUAUUUAAAUAGUAAAUCACGCCAUCACCUAACAGUUUAAAGUUUUGAGUUGAAAAUUCUACCUCGGAGUAUAAGGUCCUAAGUUCAAAUUUUCCUAGCCUCUAAUUUGUCUCUACAAUUAUAUAUCCUCACACUUUAGUCUUGGGCGAAAUCCAAGCCGGCGGAGCAUUUAAUAUUAGACCACACCUUCAUACAAUAAUGUCCACUUCCAGAAUAGAUGGCAGCGGUCCCACAAACUUGUUGACCAUUUAAUGGGAAAUGCUGCUCUUAAACCGAGAUUCUGCAUUG